rnacentral:rRNA from 1 species
UACGAAGGGGGCGAGCGUUGUUCGGAUUUACUGGGCGUAAAGGGUGCGUAGGCGGUCUUGCAAGUCAGAUGUGAAAGCCCCGGGCUCAACCUGGGAACUGCAUUUGAAACUGCAAGGCUAGAGUAUGGGAGAGGUUAGCGGAAUUCCGAGUGUAGAGGUGAAAUUCGUAGAUAUUCGGAAGAACAUCAAUGGCGAAGGCAGCUAACUGGACCAUUACUGACGCUGAGGCACGAAAGCGUGGGGAGCAAACAGG